rnacentral:rRNA from 1 species
UACCAGCCCCCCGAGUGGUCGGGACGAUUAUUGGGCCUAAAGCAUCCGUAGCCGGUCCUGCAAGUCUUCCGUUAAAUCCAGCUGCUCAACAGAUGGGCUGCGGGGGAUACUACAGGGCUAGGAGGCGGGAGAGGCAAGCGGUACUCGAUGGGUAGGGGUAAAAUCCGUUGAUCCAUUGAAGACCACCAGUGGCGAAGGCGGCUUGCCAGAACGCGCUCGACGGUGAGGGAUGAAAGCUGGGGGAGCAAACCGG